rnacentral:rRNA from 1 species
CCUACGGGAGGCAGCAGUGAGGAAUAUUGGUCAAUGGGCGCGAGCCUGAACCAGCCAAGUCGCGUGAGGGAAGACGGUCCUAUGGAUUGUAAACCUCUUUUGUCGGGGAGCAAAAGACGCCACGCGUGGCGUUCCGCGCGUACCCGACGAAAAAGCAUCGGCUAACUCCGUGCCAGCAGCCGCGGUAAUCCGGAGUAUGCGCGCGUUAUCCGUAUUUAUUGGGUUUAAGGGGUGCGCAGUGGGAAGUUCAAGUCAGCGGUAAAAUUGAGAGGCUCAACCUCUUCGAGCCGUUGAAACUGGUGUUCUGGAGUGAGCGAGAAGUAGGCGGAAUGCGUGGUGUAGCGGUGAAAUGCAUAGAUAUCACGCAGAACUCCGAUUGCGAAGGCAGCAUACCGGAGCUCAACUGACGCUCAUGCACGAAAGUGUGGGUAUCGAACAGGAUUAGAUACCCCUGUAGUC